UACGUAGGGUGCAAGCGUUAAUCGGAAUUACUGGGCGUAAAGCGUGCGCAGGCGGUUUUGUAAGUCUGUCGUGAAAUCCCCGGGCUCAACCUGGGAAUUGCGAUGGAGACUGCAAGGCUAGAAUCUGGCAGAGGGGGGUAGAAUUCCACGUGUAGCAGUGAAAUGCGUAGAGAUGUGGAGGAACACCGAUGGCGAAGGCAGCCCCCUGGGUCA
rnacentral:rRNA from 1 species